CAAAUUUAACCUUGGCCUCCAUGUUGCAACGUCUGCUCUGUCUGAAGGAAGAAGUUUGUUGACCAGACAGCCUGAGAUCGUAUUGCUGUAUCAACCAAAAGAUGCAGAUACACGUAUUUCAUAUGCGCGUCUGUGCAUGAGGAGGAGAUUUCUGAAAAAGAAUAAGUGCUUAUUCAACUUACUGCGAUUUUAACGGGCUUAAAGCUUGGUCCAUGGAUGGUUAUGUUUGAGGAUUUGACAAUUCGACCGCAAGUGCGCUGCAAGAAAUUAAACAUGCAGAGACCUUACAAAUUACAAAGAAGUCUGAAGAAAAUUUUUAUUGGACAGAUGGGUGUAAAGCACAGACCUGAGAUAUAAAUUGAAUUGUGAGAAAUAUGAAUCAGGGAUGCAGGUAGAAAAUGGUAAAUGUGAUCCAGAUUGAUAAAAAAUGUCUAAAAAUUUUUCUUGUUUUGUAAAUAUUCAAUGCUAUGUCAAUUGUUGUUUUUUCCCCAAUACCUAAUAGUGUUGAACAUUUCACUCCCACUUUUGCUUAAAUAGAAUGAAUAAAUUUCCAUUUAUUUAAUAUGAAUAUUAAAAAAUGCCACAUUUUUUCCAUGAUGAACUUGUGGCUUAAAUAAGAGUUCCAGUUUUUUUUCCAUACAUGCUCCUAUUUGUUUGUCAAAGAUAUAAGAUCCAAUACAUUGCUCAUGAACAUAAUGUGUAAUUUUGUUCAUUCAUUUAUAUGUUUUUUUCUCAUAAUGAUAUAAUAAAUUGUAUAUAAUUUU